UGGAAGGGGGGAUCGGUGAGGAAGAAGCACCCCGCAGGACACGGUUCCCGCUUGGAAGGGGGGGUGGGGGACGGACAGAGCACACCGCAGGGCAGGUUUCCCGCUUGGAAGGGGGGGUGGGGGACGGACAGAGCACACCGCAGGGCAGGUUUCACGCUUGGAAGGGGGGGUGGGGGACGGACAGAGCACACCGCAGGGCAGGUUUCACGCUUGGAAGGGGGGGUGGGGGACGGACAGAGCACACCGCAGGGCAGGUUUCCCGCUUGGAAGGGGGGGUGGGGGACGGACAGAGCACACCGCAGGGCAGGUUUCCCGCUUGGAAGGGGGGGUGGGGGACGGACAGAGCACCCCGCAGGACACGGUUCCCGCUUGGAAGGGGGGGUGGGGGACGGACAGAGCACACCGCAGGGCAGGUUUCACGCUUGGAAGGGGGGGUGGGGGACGGACAGAGCACACCGCAGGGCAGGUUUCCCGCUUGGAAGGGGGGGUGGGGGACGGACAGAGCACACCGCAGGGCAGGUUUCCCGCUUGGAAGGGGGGGUGGGGGACGGAC